GGAGUCUGGGCCGUGUCUCAGUCCCAAUGUGGCCGUUCAACCUCUCAGUCCGGCUACCGAUCGUCGACUUGGUAGGCCGUUACCCCACCAACUAUCUAAUCGGACGCGAGGCCAUCUCACAGCGAUAAAAUCUUUGGUAUUCAGAUCAUGCGGUCCGAAUACGUUAUGCGGUAUUAGCAGUUCUUUCGAGCUGUUAUUCCCCUCUGCAAGGCAGGUUCCUCACGUGUUACUCACCCGUCCGCCACUAAGACAUACUAUUCACUCAGCAGUAGAAGCUCGACGCUUGUUCUUCAAACACUCGCUCGCUUCCACCGUUCAGUGAACAGUAUGUCUCCGUUCGACUUGCAUGUGUUAAGCGCGCCGCCAGCGUCGUCCUGUAGCAUGAUCAAACUACU
rnacentral:rRNA from 1 species